CCUCCAAAAGUUCUUGUGACUUUUAGUCCCUAGAACUACUUUUCAAGAGACUAAAAGGUUCCUUCAGCCCACUGUUGUCUGCAUUUUCACCGCGGUCUAAAGACCUGUGAAGAUUAGACAAAUUAUUCUGCGACGUAUGAAAAAGCAACAUGACGUGAGACGAGGGCUGCUGG